GAUGAACGCUGGCGGCGUGCCUAAUACAUGCAAGUCGAGCGAACGGACGAGAAGCUUGCUUCUCUGAUGUUAGCGGCGGACGGGUGAGUAACACGUGGAUAACCUACCUAUAAGACUGGGAUAACUUCGGGAAACCGUAGCUAAUACCGGAUAAUAUUUUGAACCGCAUGGUUCAAAAGUGAAAGACGGUCUUGCUGUCACUUAUAGAUGGAUCCGCGCUGCAUUAGCUAGUUGGUAAGGUAACGGCUUACCAAGGCAACGAUGCAUAGCCGACCUGAGAGGGUGAUCGGCCACACUGGAACUGAGACACGGUCCAGACUCCUACGGGAGGCAGCAGUAGGGAAUCUUCCGCAAUGGGCGAAAGCCUGACGGAGCAACGCCGCGUGAGUGAUGAAGGUCUUCGGAUCGUAAAACUCUGUUAUUAGCGAAGAACAAAUGUGUAAGUAACUGUGCACAUCUUGACGGUACCUAAUCAGAAAGCCACGGCUAACUACGUG
rnacentral:rRNA from 1 species